rnacentral:rRNA from 1 species
AGAAGUGGAGCAUCCAUGAGUAAAGUGGCGUACGGGUGAGUAACACGUGGAUCAUCUACCUCUUGGUGGGGAAUAACCCUGGGAAACCGGGGCUAAUACCGCAUAAGCCUGUGAAGGGAAAGCAGCAAUGCGCCGAGAGAGGAGUCCGCGGCCGAUUAGCUAGUUGGUAGGGUAAUGGCCUACCAAGGCAAUGAUCGGUAGCCGGCCUGAGAGGGCACACGGCCACACUGGCACUGAAACACGGGCCAGACUCCUACGGGAGGCAGCAGUGGGGAAUCUUGCACAAUGGAGGAAACUCUGAUGCAGCGACGCCGCGUGAGCGAUGAAGCCCUUCGGGGUGUAAAGCUCUUUCGACGGGAACGAUAAUGACGGUACCCGGAGAAGAAGCUGCGGCUAACUACGUGCCAGCAGCCGCGGUAAUACGUAGGCAGCAAGCGUUGUUCGGAAUUACUGGGCGUAAAGAGUGUGUAGGCGGUUCUCUAUGUUCGGUGUGAAAUCUCCCGGCUUAACUGGGAGGGUGCGCCGAAAACUGGAGGGCUUGAGUAUGGGAGAGGAAAGCGGAAUUCCUGGUGUAGCGGUGAAAUGCGUAGAUAUCAGGAGGAACACCUGCGGUGUAGACGGCUUUCUGGACCAUCACUGACGCUGAGACACGAAAGCGUGGGUAGCAAACAGGAUUAGAUACCCUGGUAGUCCACGCCCUAAACGAUGCA